rnacentral:rRNA from 1 species
UGGGGAAUUUUGCACAAUGGGGGAAACCCUGAUGCAGCGAUGCCGCGUGAUUUAGAAGGCCUUCGGGUUGUAAAAAUCUUUUUUACGGGAUGAAAAUGACAGUACCGUAAGAAUAAGGUCCGGCUAAAUACGUGCCAGCAGCCGCGGUAAUACGUAUGGACCGAGCGUUGUCCGGAAUCAUUGGGCGUAAAGGGUACGUAGGCGGCCUAGUAAGUUAGAAGUGAAAUAAUAUAGCUCAACUAUAUAAAGCUUUUAAAACUGCUAGGCUUGAGAGAUGGAAGGGAAAGUGGAAUUCCUAGUGUAGCGGUGAAAUGCGCAGAUAUUAGGAAGAAUACCGGUGGCGAAGGCGACUUUCUGGUCAUCAUCUGACGCUGAGGUACGAAAGCGUGGGUAGCAAACAGG